rnacentral:rRNA from 1 species
UACGUAGGGCGCAAGCGUUAUCCGGAAUUAUUGGGCGUAAAGAGCUCGUAGGCGGUGUGUCGCGUCGGCCGUGAAAACCUGGGGCUUAACUCUGGGCUUGCGGUCGAUACGGGCAUCACUGGAGUUCGGCAGGGGAGACUGGAAUUCCUGGUGUAGCGGUGAAAUGCGCAGAUAUCAGGAGGAACACCGGUGGCGAAGGCGGGUCUCUGGGCCGAUACUGACGCUGAGGAGCGAAAGCGUGGGGAGCGAACAGG